GACAAAGAGUCACUACUACAAAUAUGUGCAAAAGUAUUACCUAUGAAAGGCCUCCUUAAUGACAUAAAUGAUUAUUCAGCAAAAAAAACCUAAUUUGUUCGAAAGGUAGUGGUCUGUUAUAACAUGAUAAAGGAUACCUCUUUUUUUAAAAGGUGGUUUUUUAAACCUUAUCAAAAGUUUCCAAUAUUAAAGAAACCACUUAUUCUUAUGAAGUAAUGACUUUGAUUUUAUAUCUUUUUUUAAAAAAAAAUCCAUAUAUACAUUUACAUGUUUUCAGGUAGUCAAUAAUAAUUGUAUUACUAAUUGUUAAUUAAAAAUAAAUCAACACACAAAUCUAUAAUCCACUAGCAAUUAAUUACCUCUUAUAUCUCUAUUGUAAAAAGGUAAAACCCUAAAUAUACUAUUCUUUAAUUACUUAAUUUUACUUUUACUAUACUUACUCCAUAAUUAACAAAUUAAAGCCAAUGCAAGCCUAUAGUAGUUCUUAACUUCUUGAUUACCAUCUUCCCUCAAACACGCACUACCCGAGCAAAAAAAAAAAAACUGCACAUAUACCCGUCUGAAUUUUGCACCACAAUUCAAUCGCCAGCAACCGUCGGAUUUACCUCGCUGGCGAAUUCGUCUGCCAGUGGAGUCGUCUUUUCUGUCGUCCAAUUACCCGAUAGAACAAAAGUCGUCUUUGUUCGCUAGUGUUCCAUUACCACCACCACGCCACAGCGACGCCAAUUCGUCCGCCAGUAUUCUGAUGCAUGUUGAUGCGUUAAUCCAAGUGAAGAUGGAAGCUUAGGAGGAGUAGUAGUAUUUGCAACAGGACUGUGCUAAUCGUACACUGAGCAUUUUGGACUUUGCAAUCACAUACACAUAGCAAAACUCUGGUGCACAUUUUGUCACAUGGCUUGGCACGCCAGGCUUUUUAAAUGUUCUGUUAAUACCAACAAUGUAGUUUUAGGAAAGGAAUACUUUUCAACAUUAUUAAGAGACGAGAUAAUGCAGCUUACUUCACAAAGAGCGUUUCUUGACCAUGCGCCGAUAACAAUGUUAGUCAUGAAGUUGUUGUUAACAUAGUCCAAAAUAGCCUUCGGUACGUUAGUAUCUUCAAGAACUACCUCUUUCAAUUGAACCUGAUGGUAAUAUUGCCAAGCGAAAAUAAUGUUUGAUUUGCUUUGAUGUGGACAUUAAGAUUUCAGAAACUAACAAGACUCUCUUUUAUACAAGCAAGUAUGUAAUUAAAUUCAUGUAUACUCUUUCCUUCUGCCUCACAUAGACUAGUCCCAUCUCUGACUACCCCAAUGCAUGCAUUUUUAGAUUAUGAUAGAGAUAAACUAUAGAGUGAAAGCUGCAAAGAAUUGUCUACUUGAGAUAUAUAAACUGAUAAAAGUUUAUAUCAGUUUAUAUACCUCAAGUAGAAGGGGGGGUGAUGAGAUUUCUUAACAUGUGUUGUCUAUGAUUUAUCAUGUUUAGAUUUUCGCCCUUUUCCUGCAAUGUGGGGUCUCUUUAGGCACGGAGUUAAUAAGAUUUUGAUAGUUAGUUAAGUUUUUUUUCUUUCAUGAAGGUAACUUUUUGGAUACAUUAGUGUAACUAUCUAAACGGUUGGCUUCUGAUUGAAAGGGGAAAAUAUUAAUAGCAAAUGGUGAAGUUCUCAGUUGUUUAUUAUGUGAUCCCUCUCCCCAAUGGGUAAAUCAUGGUCUCUUUAACUCGUGGUAGCUUAUAACUUGAAAAUGUUGAAGUAGGUUUUGGACUAAAGACUGGUGAUUCAUGUUUCUAUUACGUUAUUUUUUGUAAAUUUUAUAUUGUGAUUGGUGCACGACAAGGUAUAUGUUUGUAUUGGUUUUUCUUUCUCAUUAGAGGAGCUGCAUAAUAUCUUUCACAUGUUAUGCCAUAGAGGUUUUAUGCCUUCCCUCCAUCUAUUUUCCAAUUUUUCAUGUCUGGGUUGGGUUAAUGGGGGUUGUGCGAUGGUGAUGACACUGCCAUUAAUUUGAUAAAAUGUUAGGUUAACUUUUUUUUACUCUUUAUUGAUUAUUUAAGUAUAUAUUUUUGGUCUCUUACAAUAAGUAGCAAGGUAUUGUCUAAGCUGAUUAUUGUGGCUAAUUUCACUCUAGAUAUUUUCAAUCAUUUAUAUGAAAUUAUUCUCUCUGUUAAGUAAUAAACUUCAUGGUUGACUUGGCAGGUGUUUUCAUAAUAUAGUUGUUGACAAUAAAUAAAUUAAUUAGAAGUGGAUGGAGAGAGGAAAAGGAAGAUAAUUGUUAUGAUAGAAGGAAAAAACGGAUUAUAUGAUGGUAAGAUAAAAGGGCAACGUAAUAUUUUUACUUCCAAAGAAAGACAAUUCUUUUACAGGCUAUCAAAAUACAACAAUGUGGAGGUUUUUUCUGGGACGCAGGUCGGAGAGUACUGGUCAUAACUUCAUUUGCACUUUUUUUAAUGAACUUUAAGGUUUUGAGGGGGGAUUUAUGUUUUCGUAUUCAGUCUCCUUGUCAUUUUUAGGUUUCUCUCUUUCUAUGUGUUCUAUUGGAGUGUUCAUCUAUAAUAUUUGUGAUUCUUCAUUUAAAUUGGAGUGAAAAUCUAUACAAACAACUACCACAUGAUUUUGAUUUGCUUCUAAAAUGAAAUAUAAUGUAGAGAAUAAUGUGAGAAUUAGUUGGCUAUACAUACUGUGACUUUAUUUACUUUUGUGUUGAUGGUGUGUCUACUCUAUUCUAAUGGUUCUCUAUAUUAAUUAUAAUUAAUGCAUUAGCAGCAAGUUUUUUGACAAGUAAUUAGUGUUGGUGAUUAUAAGAAUAUUGUAAUGAAAUUAACCUACAAUUUACUUUAUUCUGCACAACGUAAUGUAUGAGUGCGACUCUUUGAAUAUAGGAAUUCUGGGUGAAUAUUAAACACACUAGAAACCAACACUUUUGGAUUCAUCAUAAGAAAUGGAUCCUAGUUGAAUUACCACGAAAAAACCUGGUGACCCGAGGUAUAUUGCUGGAGUGAAGGAAUUUAUAAAUUUUGCUGUGAAGAAUGAUGGAGGAAAUGAUAGAUUGCCUUGUCCUUGUUUUAUGUGCCAUAAUUUGUUGUAUAAGAGAGUUGAUGAGAUACUAAAUCGUUUGAGUAGAUGGACCUUUGAUAGAACAUACACCUGUUGAAUUUUUCAUGGUGAAGCUAAGGAAAAAAUUCUAUUUAUGUAUGAUGUUAGUGAAGGUUAUGAUAGUAAUGAUGGUGAUAGGUUGGAGGAAUUGAUACAUGUUGUUGAGAAUUUUUUUGAUGGUAAUCCUGCUAUGUUUGAGACCUUGUUAAGUGAUUCUGAGAAGCCUUUGUACAACGGUUGCACCAAGUACACAAGAUUGUCAUCUGUACUCAAGUUGUAUAACUUGAAAUUAGGUGGUGGUUGGAGUGAUACAAGUUUUACUCUGUUACUUGAAG